rnacentral:rRNA from 1 species
UAGCUAGUUGGUGAGGUAACGGCCCACCAAGGCGACGAUCGGUAGCCGGACUGAGAGGUUGAACGGCCACAUUGGGACUGAGACACGGCCCAGACUCCUACGGGAGGCAGCAGUGGGGAAUAUUGCACAAUGGGGGAAACCCUGAUGCAGCGACGCCGCGUGGAGGAAGAAGGUCUUCGGAUUGUAAACUCCUGUUGUUGAGGAAGAUAAUGACGGUACUCAACAAGGAAGUGACGGCUAACUACGUGCCAGCAGCCGCGGUAAAACGUAGGUCACAAGCGUUGUCCGGAAUUACUGGGUGUAAAGGGAGCGCAGGCGGGAGAACAAGUUGGAAGUGAAAUCCAUGGGCUCAACCCAUGAACUGCUUUCAAAACUGUUUUUCUUGAGUAGUGCAGAGGUAGGCGGAAUUCCCGGUGUAGCGGUGGAAUGCGUAGAUAUCGGGAGGAACACCAGUGGCGAAGGCGGCCUACUGGGCACCAACUGACGCUGAGGCUCGAAAGUGUGGGUAGCAAACAGGAUUAGAUACCCUGGUAGUCCACACCGUAAACGAUGAUUACUAGGUGUUGGAGGAUUGACCCCUUCAGUGCCGCAGUUAACACAAUAAGUAAUCCACCUGGGGAGUACGACCGCAAGGUUGAAACUCAAAGGAAUUGACGGGGGCCCGCACAAGCAGUGGAGUAUGUGGUUUAAUUCGACGCAGCGCGAAGAACCUUACCAAGUCUUGACAUCCCUUGACGAUGCUGGAAACAGUAUUUCUCUUCGGAGCAAGGAGACAGGUGGUGCAUGGUUGUCGUCAGCUCGUGUCGUGAGAUGUUGGGUUAAGUCCCACAACGAGCGCAACCCUUAUGGUCAGUUACUACGCAAGAGGACUCUGGCCAGACUGCCGUUGACAAAGCGGAGGAAGGUGGGGAUGACGUCAAAUCAUCAUGCCCUUUAUGACUUGGGCUACACACGUACUACAAUGGCGUUAAACAAAGAGAAGCAAGACCGCGAGGUGGAGCAAAACUCAGAAACAACGUCCCAGUUCGGACUGCAGGCUGCAACUCGCCUGCACGAAGUCGGAAUUGCUAGUAAUCGUGGAUCAGCAUGCCACGGUGAAUACGUUCCCGGGCCUUGUACACACCGCCCGUCACACCAUGAGAGCCGGGGGGACCCGAAGUCGGUAGUCUAACCGUAAGGAGGACGCCGCCGAAGGUAAAACUGGUGAUUGGGGUGAAGUCGUAACAAGGUAG